rnacentral:rRNA from 1 species
GCAGUAGCCGCGGUAAUACGUAGGGUGCAAGCGUUAAUCGGAAUUACUGGGCGUAAAGCGUGCGCAGGCGGUUAUAUAAGACAGAUGUGAAAUCCCCGGGCUCAACCUGGGAACUGCAUUUGUGACUGUAUAGCUAGAGUACGGCAGAGGGGGAUGGAAUUCCGCGUGUAGCAGUGAAAUGCGUAGAUAUGCGGAGGAACACCGAUGGCGAAGGCAAUCCCCUGGGCCUGUACUGACGCUCAUGCACGAAAGCGUGGGGAGCAAACAGGAUUAGAUACCCCCGUAGUCCCUGUCUCUUAUAA